AUUUUGUUUUUCAAAAUUUUGAUAAAAAUAGCCAUUGACUUUCUUCUGGCAACUUCAACUCAUCGUCUAGUGAUUUUUUUUAAUUAAGUGAUGAAUAUGGAAUCAACGAAAAGUAUUUUAAACCAGUGAAUAUCCAAAAUGAAAAAGUUAACCUAAGAAUUAAAAACAACAGAAAAAUUUACCUGAAAACCCAAAAACGAUAAUCUUUAAAAAUGAUAAAACGACUCUGGAAAAGACAAACAACGUGGUCAACAAGUAUCCUUACUGAAGGUCAAAUCAAACUAAAAGGAUUCCCUGGUAAGUUAAUGAAAGGCAACUAGUUUGUACUAAAUCGUAGAUCACCAGUUAACCAAGAUGACGAGCCUGAGUGAGAAACAAUUGAGUAAUCGGAAACGUUUGGAAUUCUAAUGGACAGACCAGAAAUCAACGAAAGGAGCUAAAUGGUGAAAGUUGAUUUAAACCAAACCGAAGGAAGGAGAACAAGACGGAACAAAUACUUUUAAAGCAACUUAAUCAAAUCAAUUAAAUGUUCCUAAUUUAUUAAUCUAAAUAAUUCUUGAUAAAUUGUAAAAUUAUAACUUUUUGUAUCUCUAUCAUUUUUACAAUUCCCUACCCAUGCUUGUCAAGCCAAAUAUGACCUCCAGGGGGCGAUAUACAGUCGAAAGACUAAAGUCGUUCGGUUAUACGCUGACUAUGACAGUGUGUAACCAUGUAUUGUAAGCAAUUACAGACAAAUAAAUUGAAAGGGUUUUUUAUAGCGAUGAUUGCAAAGUCUUGUUCAUUAUUAGUAAAUGUUUUGUCCAAUUUUUCACAUGGGAUUAAUUUAUAACAGAUAAUAGAGGAAAAAUUCAAUUUUAACUCGUUAUUUGUUCAGCUUUACAUUGGUUUGUUUGGGCCUACAGUUAACAUCAUCUUCCUACACCAUGUACUUGUUGCUGCUGUAUUUUCAAUGACGAGCAAAAUUUGGUGAAAGUGAAAGCUCUUGAAAUAUGUAAAGCUGCUCAUUAAAUCUUUACCUUUUCGCGUUGAAAUCUAAAUUGACCACAAACAAAGUGAGAUGUAUAGAAAGGGAAAGUUUGAUUGCAAAUUAAGAUACAGGGACAGGAAGACAAGAGAAAAAGGAAGACUAAAAUGUUUGGAUUCAUUGGAUAGUCGAGAGGAUAUCCAAUUGAUUGACACACUCUAAUACUUGGCCAACAAUUGAAUGGCAAUUCUCAAUCUCUAAACUAACCAUCCUGAGAAAAUUCAAUCAACAAAGCAACCUGGUUUAAGCAGUUAAAGAAAGGUGUCGGCAGCUUCAAAAUUAUUCAAUUAUGUAAACUGGUACGAAUAGUGAGUUCGAAGAGAUAAAUCUAAGAAUCAAAUCAACUAUUUAGACCAAAGAUUUUGGAUCAAAGAUUCAAGUUCAAUAAGUGAAGCCCAUGAGUUAGGCCUUAGAGAUCAAGUUCAAACAGCGAGGCCCGACUAACAGCCAGGAUUUGGUCGACUUUAGGAUAAAUAUUCAUGGAUCCAUCCAGAGAUUGGAAAUCAAUUUAUGAUGUUGAUGUAUUUUUUUGAGUGUUCCUCGGUGUUGGUGCCAUUAAAACACCCAUUCAAUUGAUGAUGAUGAGACAAGGUUAAAAAAUUGACAUGCAUUUAACUUGGUUAUUGUAUGAUACUUGUAAUCAUUUUUUACCACUUUAAAUUACUAUUGAGACUUAACUUGUCAACAAAGAUGUAAGUUAGGAACCAAACUAUUUAACCUUUUUCUUUGUGUCAUCAUAAUCAUCAUCGAAAAAAAGAGCAUCUUCCUCUUCAUCUUUCUCCAGAUCAUUUCCUCUUCCUUGAAGCAAUUUGAAUCAAUCACUUUGCAACCUCACAGUGAACACAUUUACUGCCUAUUUCUGGUGCCUCUUCAACAUCUUUUUAUAAUACAGUUAUAUACCUGUUAAAUUUCUUAUUACCAUUUCUUUUUUUACCAUAUUUUACUCUCUUCCAUUGCAACCUUAUUUGUGGAGUAAGAGAAGUAAAAUAUGAUUAAAUUAUGGGCAAAAAGUUACAUGAAAUUAAGGUUUAGCAGGAUAAGGUUGAAGCACAGAAGGAAAAUAGAGAGCAAAUGAUAAGUUUUCAAGAGGAAAAGAAAUGAAUAAAGAAUAAGAUAAGUUGGAAAAUAUCGUUCACCAAGGAAUUUAUAAAAAUCUAAAUUAAGCUUGCUAUCAUUUCUUGUAUAUUUUUAAAUUCAUCUAAUGGGUUACAAUGGUUUUCACCAGUUUUAGAAGGGGAAAUCAGACAAAAUUUCAAUCCUUUACCUUGCCUAUGAAUUUGCAUUCACAAUGAGCAUAAUAUUCUGUAAUCAUUUUACACCGUCUAUUAACUGAAUCCUUGAAAGUCAUCUUCAACUUGUCUAAUUGUGAUUGGGUUCACCAUCAUUUGGUAAAUGAGAUAAUUUCAAUUACUUCUGUUAAUCAAAAUGGAAAGAGCAACUCUUUCUAAUCCUUUUGUUAAUCUUUUUUUCGCUUCAUUAAAUGUUAAUGUUUUUCAUA